AUUGAACGCUGGCGGAAUGCUUUACACAUGCAAGUCGAACGGCAGCACGGGGGCAACCCUGGUGGCGAGUGGCGAACGGGUGAGUAAUACAUCGGAACGUGCCCAGUCGUGGGGGAUAACGUAGCGAAAGUUACGCUAAUACCGCAUACGAUCUACGGAUGAAAGCGGGGGAUCGCAAGACCUCGCGCGAUUGGAGCGGCCGAUGUCAGAUUAGGUAGUUGGUGGGGUAAAGGCUCACCAAGCCGACGAUCUGUAGCUGGUCUGAGAGGACGACCAGCCACACUGGGACUGAGACACGGCCCAGACUCCUACGGGAGGCAGCAGUGGGGAAUUUUGGACAAUGGACGAAAGUCUGAUCCAGCCAUUCCGCGUGCAGGACGAAGGCCUUCGGGUUGUAAACUGCUUUUGUACGGAACGAAAAAGCCUUGGCUAAUACCCAGGGUCCAUGACGGUACCGUAAGAAUAAGCACCGGCUAACUACGUGCCAGCAGCCGCGGUAAUACGUAGGGUGCGAGCGUUAAUCGGAAUUACUGGGCGUAAAGCGUGCGCAGGCGGUUUUGUAAGACAGAGGUGAAAUCCCCGGGCUCAACCUGGGAACUGCCUUUGUGACUGCAAGGCUAGAGUGCGGCAGAGGGGGAUGGAAUUCCGCGUGUAGCAGUGAAAUGCGUAGAUAUGCGGAGGAACACCGAUGGCGAAGGC
rnacentral:rRNA from 1 species